AUGCUUCUUGUUGCCGGUGAUGUGACGCCCUUGAUGAUCAGGUGCAUCAACACCGACUCCAGGUUGACGGCCACGUCCAGUGAAUCGCGCAACACAUUGUCGCUGGCCACCAACGCCACCAAGGCAUGCAGGCGAAAUCGCUCUUCGAUCGGUCGAACGACUCACUGUGCAUCGUGUACCUGUUCAGAAUUACAUUUCAAACAAAACACAUUUGCAGGCUGUGGACUUGCACUUCUAAACCCCUGCAUCCACAAAAUAAGCAAACAACAUGCGCCCAUCAACGCGUUCUCAGUUCCAAGCUCUCACUCGUCGCCCGACCGGCUCAGCACUUGUAGCUGCUGUGCUUGCUGCCGUCGGCCCGUCGUAUGUUUCUCGCCGGACUGGUUGCGCUGGUAG
rnacentral:rRNA from 1 species